rnacentral:rRNA from 1 species
GCCUGCUCGGUGCUUAGUUAACAGCCGCGGUAACUUGACUGUGCAAAGGUAGCAUAAUCAUUAGUUUUUUAAUUGGGGGCUGGAAUGAAUGGUUUGACGAAGAUUGGCUUUUUUUUCCUAUUUGGUGAAUUUUAGUUUAUAGUGAAGACGCUGUAACGUAUCUAAUUGACGAGAAGACCCCAUAAAGCUUAUUUGGGGGUUAUAUUUUUUAUCUUCAUCUUUUGUUGGGGCAACAGGCAUGUAUUUUUCACUGGCUAGUUAUUUAUGUAUAUUAUUGUUAGUCUUAUUUGUGAUCCGGAUAUUUUGAGAGUUAGAUAAGUUACUUUGGGGAUAACAGCGUAAUUUUAUUGGAGAGUUCUUAUUGAUGGUAAGGUUUGCGACCUCGAUGUUGAAUUAAGAUACCUUUUUGUUGUAGCUGGCUUUUUGGGGGGUCUGUUCGACCUUUAAAUUCUUACAUGAUCUGAGUUC